CAGUCGCCGCGGUAAUACGAAGGGGGCUAGCGUUGUUCGGAGUUACUGGGCGUAAAGCGCACGUAGGCGGAUCGAUCAGUCAGGGGUGAAAUCCCAGGGCUCAACCCUGGAACUGCCUUUGAUACUGUCGAUCUGGAGUAUGGAAGAGGUGAGUGGAAUUCCGAGUGUAGAGGUGAAAUUCGUAGAUAUUCGGAGGAACACCAGUGGCGAAGGCGGCUCACUGGUCCAUUACUGACGCUGAGGUGCGAAAGCGUGGGGAGCAAACAGGAUUAGAUACCCCGGUAGUCCCUGUCUCUUAUAU
rnacentral:rRNA from 1 species